rnacentral:rRNA from 1 species
GAGUUUGAUCCUGGCUCAGGACGAACGCUGGCGGCGUGCCUAAUACAUGCAAGUCGAGCGCGGGAAGCUCACCAAUCCCUUCGGGGAGCGGUGAGUGGAACGAGCGGCGGACGGGUGAGUAACACGUGGGCAACCUGCCUGUAAGACUGGGAUAACUCGCGGAAACGUGAGCUAAUACCGGAUAAUAUUUCUUAUCGCAUGAUAGGCGAUUUAAAAGACGGCGUAAGCUGUCACUUACAGAUGGGCCCGCGGCGCAUUAGCUAGUUGGUGGGGUAAGAGCCUACCAAGGCGCACGAUGCNUAGCCGACCUGAGAGGGUGAUCGGCCACACUGGGACUGAGACACGGCCCAGACUCCUACGGGAGGCAGCAGUAGGGAAUCUUCCGCAAUGGACGAAAGUCUUGACGGAGCAACGCCGCGUGAGUGAAGAAGGUCUUCGGAAUCGUAAAACUCUGUUGUUAGGGAAGAACAAGUUGGAUAGUAACUGAUCCAACCUUGACGGUACCUAACCAGAAAGCCACGGCUAACUACGUGCCAGCAGCCGCGGUAAUACGUAGGUGGCAAGCGUUGUCCGGAUUUAUUGGGCGUAAAGGGCUCGCAGGCGGUCUCUUAAGUCUGAUGUGAAAUCUUGCGGCUUAACCGUAAGUGGUCAUUGGAAACUGGGAGGCUUGAGUGCAGAAGAGGAGAGUGGAAUUCCAUGUGUAGCGGUGAAAUGCGUAGAGAUAUGGAGGAACACCAGUGGCGAAGGCGACUCUCUGGUCUGUAACUGACGCUGAGGAGCGAAAGCGCUGCGGGAGCGAACAGGAUUAGAUACCCCUGGUAG